AGUGAACGCUGGCGGUAGGCCUAACACAUGCAAGUCGAACGGCAGCACAGAGGAGCUUGCUCCUUGGGUGGCGAGUGGCGGACGGGUGAGGAAUACAUCGGAAUCUACUCUGUCGUGGGGGAUAACGUAGGGAAACUUACGCUAAUACCGCAUACGACCUACGGGUGAAAGCAGGGGAUCUUCGGACCUUGCGCGAUUGAAUGAGCCGAUGUCGGAUUAGACAGUUGGGGGGGUAAAGGCCCACCAAGGCGACGAUCCGUAGCUGGUCUGAGAGGAUGAUCAGCCACACUGGAACUGAGACACGGUCCAGACUCCUACGGGAGGCAGCAGUGGGGAAUAUUGGACAAGGGGCGCAAGCCUGAUCCAGCCAUACCGCGUGGGUGAAGAAGGCCUUCGGGUUGUAAAGCCCUUUUGUUGGGAAAGAAAUCCAUCUGGUUAAUACCCGGGUGGGAUGACGGUACCCAAAGAAUAAGCACCGGCUAACUUCGUGCCAGCCGCCGCCGUAA
rnacentral:rRNA from 1 species